AGGAACCGGAAACUGGAUGGGGAGCUGGACCAGGCUGGAGUGCAAUGGCGCGAUCUCAGCUCACUGCAGCCUCCGCCUCCUGGGUUCAAGCGAUUCUCCUGCCUCAGCCUCCCGAAAAAUUCUUGCUGCUGUAUUGAGAAUAGAUUGAGAAAACAAGGGCAGAAGCAGGGAGACCAGUCAGGAGCUGAUUGCAGUAUCAGGCUGGUCUGGAACUCCUGGGCUGAAGCUAUCCUCUUGCCUUGGCCUCCCUAAAUGUUGGAAUUACAGACAUGGGCCACUACACCUGGCGAUCUGUGUCUUAUACG
rnacentral:sRNA from 1 species